UCGAUAAACGUCAUCAUCCUGUAAUAAUGUAUCAUUUGAUCGUGAAUAUGUUUAAGAACUGUACGAUAAAUCUUCUCUUUAUUGCACACUAGCAUGAUUCUAAGGACUUUAUCAUUGUACAAGAGUUCAAGAAAGAUGUGAUUUUGUGAUAAAAAAUAUCAGAAUAAUUUUUAUUUUCAAUAAUCAAUAAUUCAUAUACAAUAAUGAACUCAAUCAUCACAUGAUUGGUUUUAGGACAUAAUUUUCAACACUAACAGUUAUUGGUGAUGGAUCAACCGAUAGGUGGACA
rnacentral:lncRNA from 1 species